rnacentral:misc_RNA from 1 species
CACGUUUCAUCAUAUUCCACGUUUUUGAUAUUCGGUUGGUUAUUACUAGAUAGCUAAGACCCUCUUAUCUGAACUUAUAGAUUUAUGCGAAAACAGUCAAGCACAAAUUCCUCUAAAUUCAUGUCUUGACAUGGUAACUACACGCUAACGACACAAGUGCUACAUAAUAUCUACAUUUCCAUGUAAUUACUGAAAGCGCCACCUGAGGGGAAAAUGUAUUUGAAUGGCAAACGAUCAGGAAUUCGAUAUUGAUCACUCAUAUGUACUCGAUGUGGCCUGGGACAUGGAUCUAAAUGUACAGGGUUUCUACAUUGGUGCAUUCGACAAGAGGGUGUGUGAGCUAGACAUGGUGGCAAGACCCUCAGAAAAAACGGACUCAGUCCACUUAAGCCCCCUAUAUUUAAACAAUUCAACGACUUGAGCGCUAAAGUGAUAACAUUUUCAUUAUUUUCGGAGCAGUAUCAACAUCAUACCCCCUUUGUCAACAACGGGCUAAUCGCUCUCAGUCAAGGAUUGGAAACAAUAUUCCUCGUUUUUGAUAUUCCGUCGAAUAUU